GCAUGGCUAAAACAUGCAAGUCGAACGCGAAGCUCCUUCGGGAGCGGGACGUGGCGAAAGGGCGAGGAAUACAUUCUUACGUACCCCAAGGUCGGGGAUAGCUGAGGGAAACUUCAGGUAAUACCCGAUGUGGUGCUUCGGCAUCAAAGGCUUGCCGCCUUGGGAGCGGAGAAUGUCCUAUCAGGUUGUUGGUGAGGUAAUGGCUCACCAAGCCGAAGACGGGUAGCGGGUGUGAGAGCAUGACCCGCCGCAUCGGGACUGAGACACUGCCCGGACUCCUACGGGAGGCUGCAGUAACGAAUCUUCCGCAAUGCGCGAAAGCGUGACGGGGCAAUGCCGCGUGUGGGAUGAAGCUCCUCGGAGUGUAAACCACUGUCAGGGUUUAGGAACACAAUGACCAGACCCAAAGGAAGGGCCGGCUAACUCUGUGCCAGCAGCCGCGGUAAUACAGAGGGCCCGAGCGUUAAUCGGAAUCACUGGGCUUAAAGCGUACGUAGGCGGACAUGUAGGCACCUUGUGAAAGCCCUCGGCUCAACCGGGGAAUCGCUUGGUGAACCACAUGUCUUGAGGCAGGUAGGGGCGGUCGGAACGCUAGGUGGAGCGGUGAAAUGCAUAGAUAUCUAGCGGAACGCCAAAGGAGAAGUCAGGCCGCUGGGCCUGUCCUGACGCUGAGGUACGAAAGCGUGGGUAGCGAACGGGAUUAGAUACCCCGGUAGUCCACGCCGUAAACGAUGCGAACUAGAUCGGGGAGGUUUGACGCCCUCCUGGUCGAAGCAAAAGUGUUAAGUUCGCCGCCUGGGGAGUACGGUCGCAAGGCUAAAACUCAAAGGAAUUGACGGGGGCUCACACAAGCGGUGGAGCAUGUGGCUUAAUUUGAAGCAACGCGAAGAACCUUAUCCUGGGCUUGACAUGUAGAGUUCAGUCGUUAAAGACGAUGUC
rnacentral:rRNA from 1 species